CUCCUACUUUGUCGAGUCAAAUCUUAUCAAGAACCAUCGUGAAUAAGAUUUAUCAUCUCGAUACAAGAUCCUGUACCAAUGAAAUCCUACUAUAGUGUCAGUAUAUAGUAUGGUGCGGUACUACUGUAUUGGUAUGGGAUGGUUCGACAUACUAGUACGAUAUUAAUACAUCCCAUUUUGCUCGAUAUGGGGCGAUAUAGUGGACCA
rnacentral:lncRNA from 1 species